rnacentral:rRNA from 1 species
UAGUCAUAUGCUUGUCUCAAAGAUUAAGCCAUGCAUGUCUAAGUACAAGCCUCACUAAGGUGAAACCGCGAAUGGCUCAUUAAAUCACACCUAAUCUACUGGAUAGUUAACAGUUACUUGGAUAACUGCGGUAAUUCUGGAGCUAAUACAUGCACAAAGCCCCGAACUUACGUGAGGGGCGCUUUUAUUAGAUCAAAACCAAACGGCUUCGGCUGUAUCCUUGGUGACUCUGAAUAACUUUGGGCUGAUCGCAUGGCCUAGCGCCGGCGACAUAUCCUUCGAAGGUGUGCCCUAUCAACUGUCGACUGUGGCAUAGACGCCCACAGUGGUUUUGACGGGUAACGGGGAAUCAGGGUUCGAUUCCGGAGAGGGAGCCUUAAAAACGGCUACCACAUCUAAGGAAGGCAGCAGGCACGCAAAUUACCCAAUGACCGAAGGUCGAGGUAGUGACAAAAAAUAACAAUAGCGGGCCUUUUUGGGUCUGCUUUUUGGAAUGAGAGCAAUUUAAAAACCUCAUCGAGGAUCCUGUUGG